ACGGAACCCAACACGGGCAAAAGAGUUGUCAAGCCCCUUGAACUCGUUACUUGCAAGGAUUAAAUACUGACAGAUAGGUGAUAGCAAUCAAUAAAUGUAAAUAAUAGUAAAUAAAUUGCACCAAAGUAUUUUUUUUGGAGUUUUUGUUAUUAUGUUUAAGUUGACCGAGGGGCCAUAGCUUUUCUAGAGGCUCAUCUCUCAAAGAAAGCAUACGGUAGGUAAACAGAUUACUUUUGGACAAUUGAUAGAAUAGCACAUAGUUAUGACAUGUUAUUCACGACAAUGAUCAUGUAUAUAGACAUCACAUACAUAAACAAGUAGACCGACUCCUGCCUGCAUCUACUACUAUUACUUCACUCAUCGACAACUAUCCAGAAUGCAUCUAGAGUAUUAGGUAUGAAACAGAGUAAUGCUUGAAGCAAGAUGACAUGAUGUAGACAAAGUAAGACAAGCAAUAUGUUGAGACCCCAUUAAUUUAUCCUUAAAGGUAGCAAUACAAUACGUGUCAUGUCCCUUGCUGCCACUGGGAUUGAGCAACGCAGGAUUGAACCCAUCACAACGCACCACUUCCACGGGAGAUAAAUCAAUCUAGUUGGACAAACCAAACCGAUAGAUCGGAGAGAAUUACGAAGCUAUAACAAUCAUGCAUAAAAGAAUUCACAAAAGACUCAAUAUAUAUUCAUGAAUAAUCUGAUUAUAAAUCCACAAUUCAUCGGAUCCCAACAAACACUCCGCAAAAGAGGAUUACAUAGGAUAUAUCACCGUGGAAAUCACGGUGACCUUUGUAUUGAAGACCAAAGAG
rnacentral:lncRNA from 1 species